AAGAGGAACUAAAACACCCUUUCCAGGAAUGAGGAAAUUGAGAAAGAGGGCCUAAACACCUUCACAUAGCUUACAGAGAUUCUGUCCCAGCAGAGGCAACAGUUCAGAAGGCUUCGUCACCCCAAGCUUAACCUAUGCUACUAGCCUACAAAUUCCCCUUUUGGUGUGACUACAAUACAAAUUCUUCCUUCUCUGUGUGUGCUUGCAGAGAUCCAGGGCAGCAGCAUCACACUGUCAAGUAUGUCUGUGGAUGUGGUCAUGUCAUUGCCAAGACAUUUGCACAGUACUUUGUAACAGGUCAGCAGCUUCGCCAGCAGUCUGAGCCAAUGUUAUACAGCCAGGUGGGAGCAGAGUUGAGCCUUAAAUCCCUGGAGCAUGAGCAGCCAAGUCUGGAGAGGAGAAGGCAUUUUUUUCAGUGGCAAACUCUCUACUUCUGGGACUGAGGCCCAGCUCAUCCCUGCAGCAGCAUGGUGGGUUAACAACUGGCUUAAGCUUAUCAAAGUCAAAACUUGGGAUCUUACAGAGGGCCUUUUAUAAACAAUAGACUGGACAUUGCUGGCCAUAUUUGACAUUACAAUUCCUGCUAGCUUUCUUUCAAAGGAAAUGCAGCUGCCAAGAUGAUGUGUUUUGGAUUUGUAACCAAACCAAUUCCACCACUGUGGAAUACACAGUGAUGUUCUAGAUACUGCUGUGUGGUGCUGGCACCGCAUGAAGGCUUUCUCUAUUCCUUUCUCUGUCUGCUCAGUGAGUAGUCUGGGGGUGGGCAAGUGGCUGGGUGAGGACACAGCCAGGACAGACAGCUAACCUGAACUGACCAGAGAGAUAUUUCAUACCACAUAACAUCCUGCUCAGCAAUAAAACAAGGAUGGGGAGUUUUUCCAAAAUAACCAUUGCUCAGAAACUGGCCAAGUGUCAGUGAGAACACAUGGAGAUGGUGAUGAGUCAUUGCCUUUGCAUUAAUUGUCAUUGUUUGGGAUUUUUUUUCUUCACUUAUUAAACCGUAUUUCAAUCUAUCAUGGGUUUUGUCCUUCCAGUUCUCUCCCCCACCCACUGAAGGGAACUGAGCAAACAAUUGAAUGAGUUCUUGGCUUCUGAUGUCAGCAUACCACAGGCACACACAUUAGCUGGUAGCAGAUCAUAGCAGGAGAAUAUUUUAGUAUAGGUAUGCUGGCUGUACUACUUCCUCAAAAGAGAAGAAUCAAGUCAUGAGGAGGUGCUAAGACCAUCAUCACAACCCGUCAAAGUCUGGACUCCAGCACCAGGUGAGGUCCACGCUGUAGCAAACAAGUGAGCUGGGGACUCCCUGUCAUCUCCCAUCUCUAAACAGUAAAAUACACAGACAUGUAUUGUUUCUACAACCCACUUUGAAUAACAGAAUAAUAGCUGUGGCUAAUUCUGAUUCUAUCAGAAAUGUGGAAGGAGCUGCUAAGAAGUUUGAAUAACUUCCCUUCAGGCUAUGUAGUGAGCUGGGACAGAUACAUCAUUCAAAAAAAAAAUAUUUUCUGCUAGUUAAAGCCUAAGACAGUUAAAUUUCUGAAGGGCUGUCCUCACCCAGAUGGAGAUUGGUGGGGGAAUACUCCCUUAUCCCCAGCCAAGCCCACCUUGGGCACUUAAUGAUAACAAACCAGAGAAGGGCAGACUCUUUUCAGUAGCAUGCAGUGACAGC